UUUUUUUUUUUUUUUACAAAUACUGGCCUUUUUUAAGUUUCAUAACCUUAAUUUUGUUGUUUUUUUAAACAAUCUUUUUUCCUUUGGAUUGUCUAAAAGAAAUACAUGUAUAAUUUACUACUUUUUUUUUUUUUUUUUUUUUUUUUGUUUUUUAGGGCCAAACCUGUGGUAUAUGGAAGUUCCCAGGCUAGGGGUUGAAUUAUCGGAGUUUCAGCUGCCAGCCUACACCACAGCCGUAGCAAAGUGGGAUCUGAGCCUUAAGCCACUGCUCGAGGCCAGGGAUUGAACCCGCAUCCUCAAGGGUACCAGUCGGGUCCAUUUCCACUGAGCCACAACAGGAACUCCCUAAUUUACUACUCUUAAUUAUACACUUCUCCAUAUAAAAUAAGGCAAAAAGAUACAGUUUUGGGGGGAAAAAGACCCUAAUGGAAAGUCUUUAUAGUUCUUAAUGUCCUUAAAAAGAACACUCUAUGUAAGAGAAGUCAUUUCAAACUCCAGUGUCUAAAAUACUCAAGUUCUCUCUACUAUAACAUCACUAAUUCACUGUAUGACCUUGAACAAGCUAUUCAUUUUACAGCUCUAGGUGUGUGUAGACGCUGACGUUUGUGAAAUGGGAGGGUGGGAUUAAUCAGUUUCUCUGCUGGGAUGCACUGGCACCGCUGUGCCAGGCUUCUGAUGCCCGUCAGCCCUGAGGGCAGCAGGACAGAGCCCACCACACCCAGAACCAUCACCUCCAGCAGUGGUCCUCCGCCUCCAGCCUAAAGCGGUCACAUGUUGCUCCACAGUGAGCUGUGCAAACCGCUUCCACGGGCACCACGAUGCAAAAAUGGCCAGGAAGCACUGGAUUAGAUGACCUCAGGGUCCCUAUAGCUCUGACAUUUUCUAACUCUGAGCUGCGGCUGGCCGGUGGCCAACUACUACCUGAUCCUAUUAGCUGCAAUGCAGAGCACUGUGUUGUAUAAUCAGGAAGCACUCAAUGAAUUUGUUAGAAUGGCUCCAACUGCAACAGCACCACCAUAAGAACACAACAUUACCAUAAAAAUUAAACACGUAAUUACGAUGUUCUUCACUCGGGUUCCACCAAUUGGAAGUUUCUGGUACAUAAUAUCUUAGCUUAUUACCUCUGAAUGUCAAGGCACCCUGUAAGACCCUAAAGUGUUAUAUAAAAGAAAGUAAUCUGGAUGUUCCCAUCGUGGCUCAGUGCUUAAGGAGCCUGUCUAGGAUCCAUGAGGAUGCAGGUUAGAUCUCUGGCCUCGCUCAGUGGGUUAAGGACCUGGCAUUGCCCUGAGCUGUGGUGUAGGUCGCAGAUGAGGCUUGGAUCCCAAGUUGCUUGUAGGCCAGCAGCUUCAGCUCCAGUUCCACCCCUAGCCUAGGAACUUGCAUAUGCUGCAGAGGCAGCCACAAAAAAAAAAAAAAAAAAACCAAAAAAGAAAAAGAAACCAUGGGGAGUAAACUCUACCAAUAAACUGGCUUGAUACUUUGGAAUUUGAAGACUUUACAAAAAGUGGGGGGGGGGAAUAAAUAACGUAUAAAGUCAGCUUCAUGAUCUGGGUCUACUAUCUAGGGAACUGGAAGAGUUCUUUUUAUCCCAAGGAAGUAAU
rnacentral:lncRNA from 1 species